rnacentral:rRNA from 1 species
GGGCGCACGGUGGAUGCCUUGGCACUAGGAGCCGAUGAAGGACGGGACGAACACCGAUAUGCUUCGGGGAGCUGUAAGCAAGCUUUGAUCCGGAGAUUUCCGAAUGGGGAAACCCACCACUCGUAAUGGAGUGGUAUCCAUAUCUGAAUUCAUAGGAUAUGAGAAGGCAGACCCGGGGAACUGAAACAUCUAAGUACCCGGAGGAAGAGAAAGCAAAUGCGAUUCCCUGAGUAGCGGCGAGCGAAACGGGAUUAGCCCAAACCAAGAGGCUUGCCUCUUGGGGUUGUAGGACACUCUGUACGGAGUUACAAAGGAACGAGGUAGAUGAAGAGGUCUGGAAAGGCCCGCCAUAGGAGGUAACAGCCCUGUAGUCAAAACUUCGUUCUCUCCUGAGUGGAUCCUG